rnacentral:lncRNA from 1 species
UCCUUCUCUUGAACUUGAGUACCUUACUCAAUGUUCUUGCUUGCCCUUAUUGUCCUUACCCAAGCCCUAAACCACCUUCACACCACCCUCCUAUUGUUAAGCCACCAGUUCACAAACCACCAAAGCAUUCUCCUACUCCUAAACCACCAGUUCAUAAACCACCAAGAUAUCCUCCUAAACCAUCACCUUGUCCACCCCCAUCAUCAACACCAAAACCACCUCAUCAUCCCAAACCCCCAGCAGUACACCCACCACAUGUUCCAAAACCACAUCCACCUUAUGUUCCAAAACCACCAAUUGUUAAACCUCCAAUAGUACAUCCACCUUACGUACCAAAACCCCCAGUUGUGAAACCACCACCAUAUGUCCCUAAACCACCUGUUGUGAGACCACCCUAUGUUCCUAAACCACCAGUUGUACCUGUAACACCACCUUAUGUUCCUAAGCCACCAAUUGUUUUCCCACCACAUGUUCCUCUACCUCCAGUUGUACCAUCACCACCACCUUAUGUACCAACACCUCCAAUUGUGAAACCACCAAUUGUUUUUCCACCACAUGUUCCUCUACCUCCAGUUGUGCCUGUAACACCACCUUAUGUGCAACCACCACCUAUUGUAACUCCACCAACACCAACACCUCCAAUUGUGACACCACCAACACCACCUAGUGAAACACCUUGUCCUCCACCAC